rnacentral:miRNA from 1 species
GUCCCUUGAGCCUGCCGAUGGACGAUGAAACAAUGAAACUAAGGAGAAUGAUUGCUCAGCACCAGUCAAGGCAAUCUUUUAAGC